rnacentral:lncRNA from 1 species
GAAUACCAGCUGAUGUCAGUCCGCCAGCCAAAACCAGGGAGGAGAAGCGGGAGCCAGCCCUCUGGAGUCGGGAGAAGGUCUGGGGAGUGGGGUAGAGGGGAAAGCAAAGUCCAAAUACCUUCCCUUCAGACACCUCCUGGGGCCUAGACCCCACAAACCUGUUGUGGGGAGGGCAAAAUACGAUGACUACGUUCCCAGGAAGAAGGUGCCACAGCUCUUCAGGACCACGGUUGGGAGAAAGAAUGGAGGGGUUUUAGAACCUUCAGUGUGCGACUUCAUGUGCCAGCUAUAGAGCCUUGAAUGACACGUUUACCUUCAGGACUUCUCAUGUGAAAUAGGGACAUUCCCCUCCUCACUGUAUGAUGGCAGCUGUGAAAGGGCACUGCACUCGCUAAAUGCUAGUUUCCUUUCCUCUUUUCCUAAGUGACUUAUCUAAGGUCACACUGUUAAGGAAGCAGCAAGGCUGAGUCUGGGCCUCCGGGGGUCCUGACUUCAGCCACACCACAGCUGCUUCUUGUGUCCUGGGCCAGAGGUUCAUUAGUCUGAAGCAGCUGAGGAGCCCAGGAGCUGGUUUGGCCAUGACGUUCAAGUCCCAGACACAGCUGUCAGCACCAAACUUUCCUAAAUUACUCCCAGACACUGACCCUUGGACUCAGCUGCUGCUGUUGUCCCAGUUUACUGAUUCCUGCCCACCACAAAUUAUCUGUCCUGAUCUCUCCUGAAGUCUUCAUCUCAGGAUCUCAAGCUCUUGGAUCAUGGGCACGGAUAACCUGUUGUCCUCCUCUAUGGUCAAGAGGCUGCUUUUGCAAAGAAUCCAGUGGGAGAGAGUCAAUGGCCUGCUUGACGUGAACUCCAAAGUCCUCCUGGAACAGGGGCUCACUCUGUUGCCCACAUUGGAGUGCGGUGGAAGAAUCAUGGCAUGCUGCAGUCUUGAGCUUCUAGGCUCAAGAGAUCCUCCUGGUUCAGUCUCCCAAGUAGCUAGGACAGCAGGCAUAUUUUUUGUAGAUAUGGGGGUCUUGCUUUUUUGCCGAGGCUGGUCUCGAACUCCUGGCUUCAAGCAAUCUUCCUGCAUCAGUCUCUUAAAGUGUUGGGAUUCCAGGCAUGAACCACUGCACCUGGCCCUUGGGAAGUUUUAUUUUUAGCCUAGGGUUGGGGUUAAGUUUGCAUCAUGAUGUUGAGACCUCCAAAGGAGAACUUAUUGUAGUCAUUCCUGAGCUCAGGUGUCCAAACUGUCUAAUUGGAGAAUCUGGGAAUUUUCUCUCGUUUUGAUUUUCCUCUUCCACUUUUCCAUGCCAGUUGGAUGUUUGAAUGUUUUUAUCGACCUCUGAGAGCAUCCGGGUAACUGAGGGUUUACUUUGGGGGUCUUUGGAGAUGAAUAGGGACAGGAGACCUCACCUUUCUUUUCCAUGUAGCCAUAGGAGAUAGUCCCACGAUCUGAUGAUCUGUAGCAAUGGGUAGAGGAAGGGCCGUAUUAG